UACGUAGGGUGCGAGCGUUGUCCGGAUUUAUUGGGCGUAAAGAGCUCGUAGGCGGUUUGUCGUGUCGGCCGUGAAAUCUCCACGCUUAACGUGGAGUGUGCGGUCGAUACGGGCAGACUUGAGUUCGGUAGGGGAGACUGGAAUUCCUGGUGUAGCGGUGAAAUGCGCAGAUAUCAGGAGGAACACCGGUGGCGAAGGCGGGUCUCUGGGCCGAUACUGACGCUGAGGAGCGAAAGCGUGGGGAGCGAACAGG
rnacentral:rRNA from 1 species